rnacentral:rRNA from 1 species
UACGAAGGGGGCUAGCGUUGCUCGGAAUUACUGGGCGUAAAGGGCGCGUAGGCGGAUGUUUAAGUCAGAGGUGAAAGCCCAGGGCUCAACCUUGGAACUGCCUUUGAUACUGGGCAUCUUGAGUAUGGGAGAGGUGAGUGGAACUCCGAGUGUAGAGGUGAAAUUCGUAGAUAUUCGGAAGAACACCAGUGGCGAAGGCGGCUCACUGGCCCGAAUACUGACGCUGAGGCACGAAAGCGUGGGGAGCAAACAGGG